UACGGAGGGUGCAAACGUUGCUCGGAAUCAUUGGGCGUAAAGCGCACGUAGGCGGCCUGAUAAGUCGGGUGUGAAAGCCCUGGGCUCAACCCAGGAAGUGCACUCGAAACUGUCAGGCUUGAAUAUGGAAGAGGGUCGCGGAAUUCCCGGUGUAGAGGUGAAAUUCGUAGAUAUCGGGAGGAACACCGGUGGCGAAGGCGGCGAUCUGGGUCGAUACUGACGCUGAGGUGCGAAAGCGUGGGGAGCAAACGGGG
rnacentral:rRNA from 1 species